GGUGAUUUGCAGCUGUGGCGGUGCUGGGCAGUCGAAGGGCUCGCAGGAGCCCUGUGCAUCUCCAGCCCAGCAAAUAAAAGGCAGCCACCAUUCACCAAUGUCUUCAGCAUAAGCAAUUACUCAAACAUCGUCUGUACAGGAGCCUUCGCAUCUGAGGGGAGCUCAGUCCUCGGGGGACCGGGUUCAUUGGUGAGGUCACGCGGAUUCCUCCCGUGCCAGCUGCACCUGUCUAAGCAGCGACUUCUCACAACUUUUGCUUCAAAGCAUCUCUUGAAGAUACAGAAAAUAAUCUUUGAAAUAAAUCAGUAACAUGA